rnacentral:rRNA from 1 species
AAGAAGCUUGCUUCUUUGCUGACGAGUGGCGGACGGGUGAGUAAUGUCUGGGAAACUGCCUGAUGGAGGGGGAUAACUACUGGAAACGGUAGCUAAUACCGCAUAACGUCGCAAGACCAAAGAGGGGGACCUUCGGGCCUCUUGCCAUCGGAUGUGCCCAGAUGGGAUUAGCUUGUUGGUGGGGUAACGGCUCACCAAGGCGACGAUCCCUAGCUGGUCUGAGAGGAUGACCAGCCACACUGGAACUGAGACACGGUCCAGACUCCUACGGGAGGCAGCAGUGGGGAAUAUUGCACAAUGGGCGCAAGCCUGAUGCAGCCAUGCCGCGUGUAUGAAGAAGGCCUUCGGGUUGUAAAGUACUUUCAGCGGGGAGGAAGGGAGUAAAGUUAAUACCUUUGCUCAUUGACGUUACCCGCAGAAGAAGCACCGGCUAACUCCGUGCCAGCAGCCGCGGUAAUACGGAGGGUGCAAGCGUUAAUCGGAAUUACUGGGCGUAAAGCGCACGCAGGCGGUUUGUUAAGUCAGAUGUGAAAUCCCCGGGCUCAACCUGGGAACUGCAUCUGAUACUGGCAAGCUUGAGUCUCGUAGAGGGGGGUAGAAUUCCAGGUGUAGCGGUGAAAUGCGUA